AAAUCACGUAAACCCAAAAUUCCCCUCCAUAGGUCCAUUUUACGUGACACACGUAAAAAUAAUGUGAAAGUGUACCGGCAAAAAAAUAUUUUCACGUUGAAACUACGUGAAAAACCUUAUAGUAUUUUUCCACUAGGGUUUUCCAUGUAGCUUUUAUGUGUUUUAAAAUGUAACUCCAACGUGACUGGAGUGCACCAUUCCGCAAAAUUUCUACGUGAUUAUUUUAGUAUGAAAAUUGAUGGUGUACGGUGAAGACCUGCUGUCGGUCUUGUGCCUGAAAAUUGAAGUGAAAAUAGAACGAAGCCGAUUCUUUGUCAGCAGCAUCCUUUUUCCUGGCGGCAAAAGAAUUUCUAGGCCCGUUCUAACAGUAGUGGCCGAUGCUACCGUGUUGAUUGACAUCACCGAAAAUGUCACGGAUAUGGCCAGCGUUUGCCGGGUGUGUUCCGGAGGAUUGCGAGUAUGGAUUGCGUUCUUGGUGGUCCGAUCUUCAAUGCCGGAUGCUUUGCCGCCACUCUCUCGUCGGCCCUGGCCAGUUUAGUGUCCGCGUCGAAGGUGCUCCAAGCAACAAGCUGUAUCCAAAUAAAAGGAUUGGUUUAGAACCAGCAUCGGAAAUAACAACCAAGGCGGACAUCCACUGGGGUUCGACGAUGUAAGCCGACCAACCCGACCAUCUACGACAACGACUUCGAGACGGGUUCCCUUGCGGCCAUGCAGGCCAGCGGAAUCAUUAAGCUUCGCUCGAACAUCUUCCUGCUCGGCACAUGCACGACUGGGCCAAGAUCAGUUAAUCUAGUUAAUGAAUAAAAUGAAUUUUUGCAAAUUAAA